UGCUUGCCACAUUGAGAAAAUAGCAAAUUGUGCUAGGCAUGAUGGCUCACAUAAUCACAGUACUCAAGGCUGAAGAUUGUGGGGAAUAAGUUUGAAGUCAACCUGGGCAACAUAGCUGACAGAAUUCUACAGUAUGGAUGCAUCAUUGUUCAUGUUAAGAUUGCAGGCUAUUUUCAUCUUUUGUUAUGACAUGUAACAACAUAAUAUCUGUCAUGAAAGGAGCCUCCCUCUUCAACUUCAAGUCUGACAUCACAAUGAAGAUCAGCUCAGAACACAUCUUUAAAUACAUUAAGUUAUGUAUUUAAAUGUUUAAAUAAAGU